GGAUUGUGGCUCAGUGGCAGAGUGCUUGCCUCACAUGUGUGAGGCACUGGGUUCAAUCCUCAGCACCA
rnacentral:tRNA from 1 species